UACAGAGGUCUCAAGCGUUGUUCGGAUUCAUUGGGCGUAAAGGGUGCGUAGGCGGCGCGGUAAGUUGGGUGUGAAAUCUUGGAGCUUAACUCCGAAACUGCAUUCGAUACUGGCGGGCUAGAGUAUGGCAGAGGGGGGUAGAAUUCCACGUGUAGCAGUGAAAUGCGUAGAGAUGUGGAGGAAUACCGAUGGCGAAGGCAGCCCCCUGGGCCAAUACUGACGCUCAUGCACGAAAGCGUGGGGAGCAAACAGG
rnacentral:rRNA from 1 species